rnacentral:rRNA from 1 species
UACAGGGGGCUCGAGCGUUAGUCGGAAUCACUGGGCUUAAAGGGCGCGUAGGCGGCGUAACAAGUCACUUGUGAAAUCUCCGGGCUUAACCCGGAGCGGCCAAGUGAUACUGUUGUGCUAGAGUGCGGAAGGGGCUACUGGAAUUCUCGGUGUAGCGGUGAAAUGCGUAGAUAUCGCUUGGAACGCCAACGGUGAAAACAGGUUGCUGGGGUUGAGCCGACGCUGAGACACGAAAGCCAGGGGAGCAAACGGG